rnacentral:rRNA from 1 species
AGCGAACGCUGGCGGCAGGCUUAACACAUGCAAGUCGAGCGGGCGUAGCAAUACGUCAGCGGCAGACGGGUGAGUAACGCGUGGGAACGUACCUUUUGGUUCGGAACAACACAGGGAAACUUGUGCUAAUACCGGAUAAGCCCUUACGGGGAAAGAUUUAUCGCCGAAAGAUCGGCCCGCGUCUGAUUAGCUAGUUGGUGAGGUAACGGCUCACCAAGGCGACGAUCAGUAGCUGGUCUGAGAGGAUGAUCAGCCACAUUGGGACUGAGACACGGCCCAAACUCCUACGGGAGGCAGCAGUGGGGAAUAUUGGACAAUGGGCGCAAGCCUGAUCCAGCCAUGCCGCGUGAGUGAUGAAGGCCCUAGGGUUGUAAAGCUCUUUUGUGCGGGAAGAUAAUGACGGUCCGCAAGAAUAAGCCCG